CAAAGGACCGCCUUGAACUAUUGAAACGCUGUAAUCAGUUUCAACGGCUCCUGACGCCAACGAAAAUCUACUCACCUUGCUCACCAUAUAUUGUGUGGGGAAGAUGAUGCUGGGGAAAAAACUGAGGCGGCAUAUCUCCAGGUCCGGUAACAGGAGUCUCCCUGCACAACCUCUUUUUUUGCCUGCUGCCAUCCAUGUAAGAUGUGACUUGGUCCUCCUUGCCUUCCACCAUGAUUGUGAGGCUUCCUCACCCACAUGAAACUCUUGAAAAUGGAAAAUACAAUGGCCAUUUACAAGCCAAGGUGAGAAGCCUUAGAAGAAACCAACUAAUCCUGCUGACACCUUGAUCUUGGACUUCCAACCUCUAGAAUUGUAAGAAAAUAAAUUUCUCUUGUGUA
rnacentral:lncRNA from 10 species